rnacentral:misc_RNA from 1 species
CAGAACUUGCUACCAUCACCAAUGUUCAUGCUGGAAAUGCUUUUUCCUUGGCGCGAAGUCACACAGGGAAGCUCCUAUUCACUGGAGGGGAAGAUGGAGCUAUACGCAUGUUCGAGAUCAGUAGAAAUGAUAAGUUCCAUCUCAGGCGUGUGGCGACAUGGAUUCCUCACUCGGGUGCUGUUUAUUCUCUUGCAUUUGAGUUCCCUUGG